GAUGAACGCUGGCGGCGUGCCUAAUACAUGCAAGUCGAACGAAUGGACCAUAAGCUUGCUUUGCUGUUGAUAGGGGAGGACGGGUGAGUAACGCGUGGAAAACCUACCUAUAAGUCUGGGAUAACUUGGGGAAACCGGAGCUAACACCGGAUAAUAUUCUGAAACACAUUGUUCAAAAGUGAAUGACGGUCUUGCUGUCACUUAUGGAUGGAUCCGCGCUGCAUUAGCUAGUUGUUAAGGUAACGGCUUAGCAAGGGAACGAUGCAUAGCCGACCUGAGAGGGGGAUCGGCCACACUGGAACUGAGACACGGUCCAGACUCCUACGGGAGGCAGCAGUAGGGAAUCUUCCGCAAUGGGCGAAAGCCUGACGGAGCAACGCCGCGUGAGUGAUGAAGGUCUUCGGAUCGUAAAACUCUGUUAUUAGGGAAGAACAGAUGUGUAAGUAACUGAACACAUCUUGACGGUAUCUAAUCAGAAAGCCACGGCUAACUACGUG
rnacentral:rRNA from 1 species